UGGGGAAUUUUGGACAAUGGGCGAAAGCCUGAUCCAGCAAUGCCGCGUGUGUGAAGAAGGCCUUCGGGUUGUAAAGCACUUUUGUCCGGAAAGAAAUCCUUGGCUCUAAUACAGUCGGGGGAUGACGGUACCGGAAGAAUAAGCACCGGCUAACUACGUGCCAGCAGCCGCGGUAAUACGUAGGGUGCAAGCGUUAAUCGGAAUUACUGGGCGUAAAGCGUGCGCAGGCGGUUUGCUAAGACCGAUGUGAAAUCCCCGGGCUCAACCUGGGAACUGCAUUGGUGACUGGCAGGCUAGAGUAUGGCAGAGGGGGGUAGAAUUCCACGUNUAGCAGUGAAAUGCGUAGAGAUGUGGAGGAAUACCGAUGGCGAAGGCAGCCCCCUGGGCCAAUACUGACGCUCAUGCACGAAAGCGUGGGGAGCAAACAGGAUUAGAUACCCUGGUAGUCCACGCCCUAAACGAUGUCAACUAGUUGUGGGGAUUCAUUUCCUUAGUAACGUAGCUAACGCGUGAAGUUGACCGCCUGGGGAGUACGGUCGCAAGAUU
rnacentral:rRNA from 1 species